rnacentral:tRNA from 1 species
GUUGAAAUAGCUCAGUGGGUAGAGCGGAGGACUGAAGAUCCUUAGGCCAUCAGUUCAAUUCUGAUUUUCAACA